rnacentral:RNase_P_RNA from 1 species
CAGGUAACUCAGGCGAUCGCGUCCGGUUUUUACGGACGAGGAAAGUCCGAGCGCCUCAGGGCAGGACGCCUGCUAACGGCAGGGGGCAGUAAUGCCACGGAAAGUGUCACAGAAAAUACACAGCCUACCUGUAGCGCAUGACGCGCCGCAGCGGCAAUGGUGAAAAGGUGAGGUAAGAGCUUCACCGCAGGUCAGGCAACUGAACUGGCAGGACAAACCCCGUCCGGCGCAAGACCAAAUAGGAGAGGAGAGACGGCCCGUCUCGCCCCGGUCUCCGGGACACUCUCGGGUAGGGUCGCUUGAGGCGGCUGGCGACAGCCGUCGUAGACAGAUGAUCGCCACCUUCCUCGCGAAGGCACAGAACUCGGCUUACGGGUUACCUGGACC